GAUCCUGGCUUAGGAUGAACGCUGGCGGCGUGCCUAACACAUUCAAGUCGAACGGACCUUAAAGGGCUUGCUCUUUAAGGUUAGUGGCGGACGGGUGAGUAACGCGUGAGCAACCUGCCUCUGACAGCGGGAUAACAUUGGGAAACCGGUGCUAAUACCGCAUGACACACCGAGUUUGCAUGGACACGGUGUCAAAGAAGCGAUUCGGUCAGAGAUGGGCUCGCGUCUGAUUAGUUAGUUGGCGGGGUAACGGCCCACCAAGACGACGAUCAGUAGCCGGACUGAGAGGUCGAACGGCCACAUUGGAACUGAGAAACGGUCCAGACUCCUACGGGAGGCAGCAGUGGGGAAUAUUGGGCAAUGGGCGAAAGCCUGACCCAGCCGACGCCGCGUGGAGGAAGAAGGUCUUCGGAUUGUAAACUCCUGUCAACAGGGAAGAAGCAAGUGACGGUACCUGUAGAGGAAGCCACGGCUAACUACGUGCCAGCAGCAGC
rnacentral:rRNA from 1 species